GUGUCAGCAGCCGCGGUAAUACGGAAGGGGCUAGCGUUGUUCGGAAUCACUGGGCGUAAAGCGCGCGUAGGCGGUCGGUCGAGUGAGGCGUGAAAGUCCUGGGCUCAACCUGGGGACGGCGCCUCAGACUGUCCGGCUGGAGUCCGGAAGAGGGUGGUGGAAUUCCGAGUGUAGAGGUGAAAUUCGUAGAUAUUCGGAGGAACACCGGUGGCGAAGGCGGCCACCUGGUCCGGUACUGACGCUCAAGCGCGAAAGCGUGGGGAGCAAACAGGAUUAGAAACCCCCGUAGUCC
rnacentral:rRNA from 1 species